UUCCUCUCCCUCGCUCAUCUUUCUCCCAGAUCCGAUCAAGGCAUCGCCGCCACCCCCACCCACCACCGCCGACCUCUCCACCAUCUCCUCCCCGUCCCCCAUCGCGCCGCCAUCCACCUCGUCGCCUCCCAUCUCCUCCCUCCCCCACCUUCCCCACCCCCACAACAAGAUCGCCGACGUGACGACAGCAAUGGCGGCGGGUACCGGGCGGAGGACAACUACGACUACCUCUUCAAGGUCGUCCUCAUCGGCGACUCCGACAUCGGCAAGUCCAACCUGCUCUCCCGCUUCACCCGCAACGAGUUCAGCCUCGAGUCCAAGUCCACCAUCAGGGGGGUCGAGUUCGCCACCCGCUCCCUCUAGGUCGACGACAAGGUCGUCAAGGCCCAGAUUUGGGACACUACCGACCGUCCUUAUCCCCGUCUACUCGGCAGCAGGAGCUCUAGGCUGAAGAAGUUAAAAGAAGGGAACGCUUCAUCUUUGUAGCUAGUUUUAUGUUCCUGGGUGUUGUACUUCAUAACUUCAUGGCAUCACUUCCUGGGUGUUCAUGGGUGUUCUAAAUUCCUAGAUGAUGUAAACUAUGGCAUGAUUGUAAUAUAUAUAAUAUACUCAUUUUGGUCGUCAUUUGUGAAAA